GGUAUUGUGGCUCAAGUGGUAAAGCACUUGCCUUGCAUGCAUGAGGCCCUAGGUUCAAUUCCUCAGCACCA
rnacentral:tRNA from 1 species